AGUGGACGCUGGCGGUAGGCCUAACACAUGCAAGUCGAACGGCAGCACAGUAAGAGCUUGCUCUUACGGGUGGCGAGUGGCGGACGGGUGAGGAAUACAUCGGAAUCUACUUUUUUGUGGGGGAUAACGUAGGGAAACUUACGCUAAUACCGCAUACGACCUACGGGUGAAAGCAGGGGAUCUUCGGACCUUGCGCGAUUGAAUGAGCCGAUGUCGGAUUAGCUAGUUGGCGGGGUAAAGGCCCACCAAGGCGACGAUCCGUAGCUGGUCUGAGAGGAUGAUCAGCCACACUGGAACUGAGACACGGUCCAGACUCCUACGGGAGGCAGCAGUGGGGAAUAUUGGACAAUGGGCGCAAGCCUGAUCCAGCCAUACCGCGUGGGUGAAGAAGGCCUUCGGGUUGUAAAGCCCUUUUGUUGGGAAAGAAAAGCAGCAGGUUAAUACCCCGCUGUUCUGACGGUACCCAAAGAAUAAGCACCGGCUAACUUCGUG
rnacentral:rRNA from 1 species